UGCUUAUUUUGCUCAGGCGGAGCUCGACCGCCCGUUUCGGAAAUGAUCGCAUUCAUUCAGGGCCACCGAGGUCAACAUGGGGUCGAGCCGAUGUGCCGCGUUCUGCAGAUCGCCCCA
rfam:Sulfitobacter mediterraneus strain 1FIGIMAR09 PM02_050, whole genome shotgun sequence.